rnacentral:ncRNA from 2 species
UGUUACCACUAGGGGAGUCUUGCAAAAGGACUGAGACGCGUAUGGCUAUGCGGACCCUUGGAACCUGAUCUGGUUGAUGCCAGCGGAGGGAAGUGGAGUGGCGAUUGC